AGACAGGUGGUGCAUGGUUGUCGUCAGCUCGUGUCGUGAGAUGUUGGGUUAAGUCCCGCAACGAGCGCAACCCCUACUUUUAGUUGCCAUCAUUAAGUUGGGCACUCUAAAGGAACUGCCGGUGACAAACCGGAGGAAGGUGGGGAUGACGUCAAAUCAUCAUGCCCCUUAUGUUCUGGGCUACACACGUGCUACAAUGGCCGGUACAGAGGGAGGCAAAGCCGUGAGGUGGAGCGAAUCCCAAAAAGCCGGUCUCAGUUCGGAUUGCAGGCUGCAACUCGCCUGCAUGAAGUCGGAAUCGCUAGUAAUCGCGAGUCAGCAUAUCGCGGUGAAUACGUUCCCGGGUCUU
rnacentral:rRNA from 1 species